rnacentral:rRNA from 1 species
UGGGGAAUAUUGGACAAUGGGCGAAAGCCUGAUCCAGCGACGCCGCGUGUGUGAAGAAGGCCUGCGGGUUGUAAAGCACUUUCGAUGGGAACGAAAUGUGCCGGGUUAAUACCCCGGUAAGCUGACGUUACUCAAUGAAGAAGCACCGGCUAACUCUGUGCCAGCAGCCGCGGUAAUACAGAGGGUGCGAGCGUUAAUCGGAAUUACUGGGCGUAAAGCGCACGUAGGUGGCGACGUAAGUCGGGUGUGAAAGCCCCGGGCUCAACCUGGGAAUUGCAUUCGAGAUUGCAUUGCUGGAGUACGGAAGAGGAGGGCGGAAUUCCCGGUGUAGCGGUGAAAUGCGUAGAUAUCGGGAGGAACAUCAGUGGCGAAGGCGGCCCUCUGGUCCAGUACUGACACUCAAGUGCGAAAGCGUGGGGAGCAAACAGGAUUAGAUACCCGGGUAGUCCCUGAGCGGGCUGGCAAGGCGCAU